UACGGGGGGGGCAAGCGUUGUUCGGAAUUACUGGGCGUAAAGGGCUCGUAGGCGGCCGCUUAAGUCAGACGUGAAAUCCCUCGGCUCAACCGGGGCACUGCGUCUGAGACUGAAUGGCUUGAAUCCGGGAGAGGGAUGCGGAAUUCCACGUGUAGCGGUGAAAUGCGUAGAGAUGUGGAGGAACACCAGUGGCGAAGGCGACUCUUUGGUCUGUAACUGACGCUGAGGCGCGAAAGCGUGGGGAGCAAACAGG
rnacentral:rRNA from 1 species